GACGAACGCUGGCGGCGUGCCUAACACAUGCAAGUCGAACGGAACUGUUUUGAAAGAUUUCUUCGGAAUGAAUUUGAUUUAGUUUAGUGGCGGACGGGUGAGUAACGCGUGAGUAACCUGCCUUCAAGAGGGGGAUAACAUUCUGAAAAGAAUGCUAAUACCGCAUGACAUAUCGGAAUCACAUGAUUUUGAUAUCAAAGAUUUUAUCGCUUGAAGAUGGACUCGCGUCCGAUUAGUUAGUUGGUGAGGUAACGGCUCACCAAGACCGCGAUCGGUAGCCGGACUGAGAGGUUGAACGGCCACAUUGGGACUGAGACACGGCCCAGACUCCUACGGGAGGCAGCAGUGGGGGAUAUUGCGCAAUGGGGGCAACCCUGACGCAGCAACGCCGCGUGAAGGAUGAAGGUUUUCGGAUUGUAAACUUCUUUUAUUAAGGACGAAAAUUGACGGUACUUA
rnacentral:rRNA from 1 species